rnacentral:lncRNA from 1 species
ACCUGCUCUAGGUCACAAUAAUGGCUGCCACCAAUGUCUCAGUCCCUGAGAAGGUGGUCCCAGCUGCCUCCUGCCUCACCAAGAUGUGCCCAGAGCCUAUCAACGUGUCUCUGAGAGGCUGGGCGUUCCUUACACACUGCAGCCAACACUGCUCGGAUGCAGAGGCCGGGAUGAGACCCUACCUGUCUACCGUCUCCUAGUCAGCCAGACAAGAGCUGGCAAAACUGUAAACCGCCGUGGAUCUGCCCUGUCUGCUGGGGAGGGAGGAGAGAGCUUCUGUGCACCUGUGAGCCCCGGGUCUGUGAAGCUAUAACCAGGGAAACUGUCACUGAAGGAGGCCAGCCGCUGAUCCACAGUCUGUCUGUCUCUGCUCUCACUGAGCUGGAGGAUGUACUCCUGUAGAUUGUCCAAAGCCGGGCCCUGCAGGGAGCAGGGUGGUGCCCAGCUUCCAGAUGUCCGUUUCCACCUGAUCACGGAGGUGCCCCGAAGUCCUGGGCACCAGCCUCCUGAGAUAAGCAGCCAGGGCCUGGACGUACUCCCCAAAGACCACCAUAUUCAGACUCCUCACAAGGCUCUACGCCCCGAAAAGACAAAAAGAUGGGAAGACCCAAGUGAAAGCAGUCCCAGGGCACAGUCCAGCUGGCCUUGGUUGUACACCCUCAGGGACAUGGGGCGGCAGGGUGUUACAAAUCCCCCCCAUCACAGGUCUGUCCGGGCCUGUACCCCCCACCCCACAGAUCGAACCCCUAACCACUUGGCUUUUCAGAGGUUGCCUGCCUCAGCUUCUUGGGGUGACCUUCAGCAAGUCACAUCACCUCCCUGAGCCGGCCUCCACCUUGGGAGACCAAGGGCUGGCCAGGGUGACACGAGGGCCAUCCAGCCCAGCCCGUCUUGGGCCCUGGGCCUCCGUGUUGGCAAGGGUUCCCACACCCCUUUGACACCUAGCCCACAUUGGGGAGGGUCAGGAUCCCAGUGGCCAUGCAGAGCUGAUCCCCAGGGUGUCCCCCCUCCCCCCACUACCUCGUAUGUGGGAGUAGGGUGCAUGUUGGGGCAGUGCUCCAGGCUCUGCCACAGGGACCGCAGAGAUUGGACCAGAUCCUUGUUCUUCUCUCCGAAGUGACAACUCAGCAGACUCUGAGGACAGGAGGGUCGGAUGUCACCGCAGCCCGAGGCGCCCAGGCUGGCUAUAAUUUCUCCGGCCCUCAUCCUUUCCCCCUCCAGCUCUGUGACACCCACCUUUCUCUGCUGGACCCACAGUCCUGGACCAGAAGGGCCCACACCGAGGGAGCCAGAGGUUUGCCCACUUUCUGCCCCAAAACUCUGUCCACCCUUCUCCUGCCAACUCCUGGGAGGGCCCCAGGUUCAAACAGCAGCCCUGGACUCGAGCUUCUCUCAGAGCCCUCCCGAGUCCCUCCCCUCUCUCCGUGACCACCGAGGCAUGGCAGGAGCCCCCGACGAUGCUUGCUCCCCUCAGAGCUAAGCUCCAGAGACAUGGGGUGGCGAGAACCACAGCUGCUCCACCCACAUGCAGCCCUAGUCUGCUCAGUUCUCAGUGGAUGCCAAAGGUGGGUGGGUGGGGGAGGCAAAACCAGCCUGCUGAGUGUCUACUCAGGGGACCUGAACAAGUCCCAUUCCCACUACGACCCUCAGGGCCCAAUCUGUGUGAUGCAGCCUCGUCAGCAUCAUCUAGGAAAUGUGAAGCCAAGUCCAUGAUUGGCCGUGGCUGCUGGGACCUCUGGGUGGAGAAGGAGCCUGGGCCUCCAUCUGGGCCCUGAGAAGAAUGUUGGGAUUGAUGGGCAAUGUGUGCCACACCUCAGCGUGAGGCAAGGGCAGUGUGCGUGCUGUGCUUUUCUUGUCCCUAGAGGAGAUGAACUCUCUAGGUCUCUCCACCUCUGGGUCUUCCCAUGCCACCCUGAGCCAGGUGCUCAGAUCUCUGUAGAAAAUUCAGUGGCGGCUGCCUCAGAAGCUGGUCCCCACAGUGGAAAAUGGAUCCUUGGACAAAGCUGCAGCAAUGCAGACCCACCCUCACCAGCACCUCCCAUCUUCCCAGCCAGGAGGCCCCUGUGAAGAGAGGGCCAGUGUGGGCCUUGCCCUCAGCCAGAAGUUGAAUGGAUCCCGGGAGGCCUCAAACCCUGAAUUUGAGUGGGAAACUCACCUGUGGUUCCCAUAUCCUGGGGGACCCCUUGCCCUCUCAGGGCUUCAUCUCCAGGGUCAGGCCCCAGGCAUCCACGGGGAGCCCUGAAUCCUGGGCAAGGCCCUGCCUUGAAGGCAGCCACAGCUCAGGGGAAGGCAAAGAUGAACGGGCAUGGAGGCCCUGGGAACUCAGUGCAGGGGGCUUCGCCUGCCUAGGGAUGCCCGUGGCUCAGAGCUGGGAUCAGGGGGAGGGGGAAGGGAGUCGGGCCUGGAGGAGCGAGUGCCAGGCCUCAGCUGGCCUGGCAGACUGAAUGAUUUCACAGGAAGAGAGAAGAAGGAGCAGGACUCAGGGCUGGGGAGGGCAGGAGGACUGACAGAGACAUCUCCAACCAGGUUCCAUCGCUGGCACUUUGCCAUGUCCUGUCCCAGUAAAGGCUCUGUUGGGCUGGACGGAAGCCAGGGAGACAGGCCUCCUGCCCAGCUUCUCUGGGAGCAGAAAUGACCCCAGGCCAGGGCUGGGGUGUGGGACAUCACCUGGCACAGGGCUCUGACUCGAGGCAGGAGGUGGUCCCGGCCAUGGUCCUCAAUGCCUUUGAUGGCACCUUGCACAGCUGGGUCCAAGCGUGCCCAGGGAACGUGCGCCCUGCUCAGCCACCACCAUGUCUUCCUGUCAGGGGCAAUAGAAGGGGCCCAUGUGGCCUGGUCAGGAGCACUGUGGGCCCAGCCACAGCCCCAAUGCUGCACGCCCUCCCGUGCUGGUGCCCCUCCAUGUUGCCUCCCAGAGGAAAGACGGGAAACAGAUGCUCAUUUCUGUUGUUGUUGUCUAUUUCACCCCCACUCUUUUUCCUAAAUUUUAUUUUUUGAGGACGAUUAGCCCUGAGCUAAUAUCCACCUCCAAUCCUCUUUUUUGCUGAGGAAGACUGGCCCAGAGCUAACAUCCAUGCCCAUCUUCCUCUAUAUGUGGGACGCCUGCCACAGCAUGGCACAAUCAUCGGUGCGUAGGUCUACGCCCAGGAUCCAAACUGGUGAACCCAUGGUCUCCGAAGCGGAGCGCGUGAACUUAACUCCUACAACACCAGGCCAGCCCCACUAAAUGUAUUUAUUUAUGGAAUAAGCGUGACAUCCAUGUGGUUAAAAUACAAAAGGAAAACUUCCUCUCCCCAGAAGCAGCCAGUGUUAUUGGCACCUGGCCUUUCCUGAACCCAAUCCUGCAAUUCCGUACACACAUGUGUGUGUAGGGUAGGUUCUUCCCCCUUUUCUCACAGAUGGCAGCAAAUCAAUGGUCCACAUGAUUGGCCCACAGGGUCCAAAGCCUGGCUGCCUAGCCCACCAGCUCAGCUGGCCCCCUGCCCAAGCCUGGGACAUACCUGAGGAUGCAGCAGUUUUCCAGCACAUGCAGCUCGGGAAAGGUGUGGUCACUGGCGUUCUGCUGGAUGAAGACUUCAGCCUUAUCCUUGUAGCUGCGGUGUGAAGAAGAUGCUGGCCCCUCCCACCAGGCACAGCCCCCCAGGUCAGCCCCACCCAGCCAGGCCCUCAAAACUCUCCCUUCUCAUCUCAACUGCUGCUUCUCUCAUAGAAUCACAAAUGUGGGUGAUGAUAACCGUGAUGGAGACUAUGCAGCGAGGAUUUACUCGCGCUGGCUCUGUGCCAGGUGCUGCAGCCAGAUGCUUCCUGAGGAUCUUUUCAUUGAACGCUCUCCACGACCUUUUGGGGUAAAUGCUUCCAGAAAAGGAUGGGAGCAGGGUUUCCCAGUGGUCUGGAAUCACAGCUAACCCUGCAUUCUAGAGGCCCAGCCUUCCUGGCUGGUGAAGGAAAAGGUCAGGAAGAAGGCAGCGCUCCCAGAGCCGGGCUGGCCCCCUGGGAGAGUCUGAGUAAGGCCUGGGAGUGCACACAAGAAGGGGAGGUAGCCCCAUGCCCACCUGGGCCAUCACAGCUGGCCUCCCUUCCCCAGGCAGAGAGUGAAGAAAGGUGGCAGAGAGCGUACACACUCCCUGCUCCCUAAAGGCAAGGAAGAAGAGGUGCCCUUGAGCGUCUAGUCCCAAGAAUGCGGAUCAGGGUCUCAAACUGGCCACUGAGCAGAUUUUCUGAAACGUUGAAAACCCGGCUGAAUUCACCUAAAAAUCCACUUCUCUGGCCUCUCUUGAGUAACCCACCUGGUGUCAGCACCUUUGGAGACCCCAUCCCAGGUGAACACAGCCAUCUGAAGACCCCAGACACAGGAGCCUCCUGACGCAGCCUCACACAGCACUUUGUCCGAAACUAGCUUCUUAGUAAUUCCCCACAGCCCCAAGGACUCCACAGCACCUCCUCUCACCCAAGCCCAUUAAGACAGAGGCAGAGUCCCCACCUAACCCUGCGGCUGGGACAGAGCUGGGUGAGCAGCUCAGGGAUUUGACAGCAAGUCCUGCUGUGAAAACCAGAGGGAGGAGAGGGGGCGCUGGCCCCGGCUGCUUGUUUAAGGGAGCACCAAGAAGUUGAGUGACUGAGAUAAAUAGUAAUUUACUGCGAUUUAUUUUUUUCCCCAUGGAGGAAGAUUGACCCUGAGCUAACAUCUGUGCCAAUCUUUCUCUAUUUUGUAUAUGGACUGCCACCACAGCAUGGUUGACGAGUGGUAUAGGUCUGCACCCAGGAUCCAAACCCGCAAACCUGGGCCACCAAAGCGGAGUGUGCAGAACUUUAACCACUUGGCCACAGGCCGGCCCCUACUGCAAUAUUUUUAAACCUUGAAAUCUGUGCCAAAAAGUCCAUGAUGAACAAAACACCAAGUUUUAAAUCAGGACAGGAUCUGACGCAGCACUUUCACGAUGCUCCUCCCUGGUUCCCCCAAUCCCAGCCCUGCUGUCCAGUACAGGAGCCCCGCGCCCCAUGUGCUGUUCAAAUGUUGAAUAAUUAAAAUUAAAUAAAAUCUAAACUUCAGUUCUUCCGUGGAACUAGCUCAACAGCCACCCAGAUCUGGUCCCUCCAUGUUGGACGGUGCUGACAUGGGACAUUUCCAUCCCCUGCCUCCAGAGCCAGGGCACGAGGUGGAGCAGGCACGACUUGGGGGACCUGAAGCCAAUCCCGCCCCCUUCCCUGCAUCGGGAACUGGCCAAGGCGUGGUGGCCAGCGGCUGGUGGGCUUAGUUAGCUCUCUGACUUGAGUUAGGUAGACCCAGCCGUGCAUGCUCCCCUGCUCUGAGCAGGGGCCACCUUUUCACUUACCUUUCCAGAAACUUUGAAAAUGUUUCCAGAACCAUGGCUUGAACCCGUCUGGUGACGGAUGGCCCAAUGUGUCGGACUGCAUCUACAGCUUCUUUCAGUAGCUGUCAGUCAAAACAAACAGGCUUUCAGGGGGUCCCAGGGCCGACCACAUAGCCAGUGGACGCUGGGAGGAUGUGGUCCUCCCCAAUUUUGUACCUGUGCCCCACCCCUUGCCCCCCUGCCAUGUCUGCCUACUGCAGAUGCCACGCCAUCCACCAGGCCCAUGACCCAACACAUCUCGGCAGGUCUCUCUCCCUCACACCCCUCACUGUGUCCUGCAAUCAGCCAACCUGAACAGCAUUCUCACCCACGUGCUAGGCUUCACCUGUUUGGCCCGGAGGCUGCCCCAACCCCACCUGAGUGCCAGCUCCCCACCCAAGACUCUGCACAGGGCAUCUUGGCAUAAAGGUAUUGAGGAUGCCUAAGGUCCCCCCCAUCUCCUUUUCUCCCUCCAACCCUGAGCAGUCAAGAGAAGCAUCAGAAACCCCCAAACCCAGAUCCUCUAAAAAAGGCCACCCCCCACAACACACACACACACACACAUGCUGGUGGCCUGUCUUCCUGCCGGGCCAAAUAUCCGUCACCCCCAUGGGCCACAUGACCGUCUCCUUGAGGCUCAGUGCCCACCUUGCUAGAGUCCCGCCCACUGCAGGCACCCAUCUCUAUGUAGGUCCUAACUGAGGCCCAGCAGUCAGGUUCAUAAGCUGAGAGCUUCCAGGAAGAGGCCUCUCCCCAAAAGAUACACCCUGCAUCCCAGCACUGGGACCCCACCAUCACAAGCCAGGUUUCCAAGUUGAGUGCUCUCUGCUCCCCACUUCUCUGCUUGAUGCCCUCAGACACCACACAUGUACCCCAAUGCUGUCAUUGCUCUAAUGCCCCAGAGCCCCAAUCUCCACCCUGCUCUGUCCCCUCCUGGCUGCACCCUGCCCCUGACCACCCAUCAGUCACAUUGCCCCUCCCCAAUGAACCCGGCCCUCAGGAAGGGCCCAGGACCCCUUGUGGUGAGUUUGAAAGGGGCCACCUGGCAUUUACCUGGUAGAUUUCAAGGAACACUGAGGAGGCAGACUCGGUCCACUUUUUCUGAUCACAGAUCAGAACAUUUUCUAGACACUUUUUCAACUCCUCCUGCCCAGAACACAAUAAAAACAACUUUUAUCCCAAGAAUCUGCUCCAAAGCACAGCCAGAUCCUGCCCCUCUACAGCUGUGGCUGAUGCUGCCAACUGAGGACAGGAGUGGGGGUAACAACUGGCGAUGGCCUGGAGCCCCCACCAACCCACAGCCUGAAAUCCGUCCGGGAGGUACUCAGUUUCCUGAGCAGUCCUCUUCUUUCGUGGCCCCCAUCCCUCUGUCCCUCAGGGCUGGUCUGUGAAGCACCUUUGAGAUACUCCCUCUCUUUCAUUCCUGGCAAGACAGCUGCUUCCCACUGUAACCCAGUCACUGGAUCGGAGAUGACGAACGUCUACCUCUCCUUGGGAACCAUGGCCCUCACAGCAGCCGUGAGCUGGCAGAGGUGCCCGGAGACCUACAGUCUGAGGGGUGCACGGGCUGCGGACUGCUAGGACAGGACCUGGGCCAAGCGCCUGGGGUUUACCGAGGGCUGUGGGAACAGGGCUGGGCCAGGGAGGCCAGGGCACUGGAGCCUAGCUUCUGGCCAAAACCCAAAGAGUAACCCCUCGGGCCCACCCACAGGCAAUGACAAAGGCUUUCCCUGGCAGGCUCAUGGGGAAGCCACCCUCCCCACAUGGGGCCCGGGGCCCAGCUAGUGCACUGCAGUCUCAGAGAGAGCUGCCAGCAAGGGCUCGGCCGUGUCUCCCAUGCAUGUCUCUGUUCCUAACCCAGGCACCUCCAUCUGGAGGCCUGCUUAUGGGGGCCCCUGGCCAAGCACUCAGUACUUUUCCACUCCUAGCCUUCCCUCCCCCAUGCACCUGAUCCUCACCAGGCAGCGGUCCUAGGGGGGUGCAACAGGGGAGCGGGUGCUUGCUGGUAGCACCUCAGUAAGAUGCGAAAGUCUGCACUGUUACUUCGUUCUGGCUGCUUGUCUGAAUUGACCACUUGGACACCCCACAGCUGAGACCAGCUCCUGGUGGUCAGAGUGUGGAAGAGCAGAGAGUGAUAAGCCCUGUCUCCUUUAACUCAGCCCAGAUUAUGACUUUGAAGACUCAUGGGGAGCCAUGAAGGACCAGGAGGCCACAGACCCAAGUGCUUCAAGGAGGCAGAGCCCUGAGUCUGGCCAUCCUGUCUUGUUAGCCCCUGAGGAAGAGGCUGGAGGCAUUUAUAUACCAGUUCCUGGACAAUUCCAGUUAAAUCUACACCUAUUCUUUAUCUCACUGUCACAAAGCUUAGUUUCUAAGCUAAGAAGGGCAGAGAGCUUCCCCAAACCCGAAAAGCUUUUUCCACUAGUCCGCAUGACCAUUGACACAUCUGUGACCUGAGACUAGAAAUCCUUGUUAUAGGAAACCACAUUGGUUGAAACUGAUCACGGUAGAAAACUGUGAUGUCCCCUUAAGUCCUGUGUUUGCCGUGGAUGAACUGUGUGUGCCCACCUGGGGACAACCAGCUCUCCAUCCAAGGCUCACCAGUCUGCCAUGUCACUCACUGGUGCAUACAGAGCCAGACGCAUACUGGUCAGGGCAGCAGCAUUGCAUGCUGUCCGUGAAAGCCUCGUGCCCCGGCCCACAGCACACUGUUAUCUCCCACACGUGACAGUGGUCAAAGGCCAGAAUCAGCACCCUGCCCCCACUCCUAGGGGUGGACGUGGGCUCUGGCUCAAGCCCACCACCCAUGGCCCAAUCUGGCCCCUCCCCUACCUACUGUCCCCCAGAAGCAGGACAAGGACACCUUGGUGGCAGAUGCCCCUGGAAGCCAUUUACCUGGAUCAGCCCCACCAGCUUCUCCUGCAUUUGGAAUAUCCAGGUAAUGAACAUCAUUGAGUCCAAGAGGUUCCCGGCCAUGGACUUCUGGGAGGUGGGACCUACUCUCUGAAGCAUCUCCCUGCUGAAUUUGGAGGAGCCAUGAGUGCACAAGGCUGAGCGUGGCUGGGGAGGGGGGGGGGGGGUGGUGAGAGGGGCUGGGGUAGAGAGGACAGCUCAGAGCUAAGGACAGUGGACUCCAGGCUGGCAGUGCUGGUCCUGUGACUGGAGAAGGCAGCUGGGGUUGACAAGAGGGAGCAAAAGACUCUACUGGGGUAGACAAGCCUCAGGGGUCACACACAAGCACGGGCCAUGAGCUCCCCAUACACAUGCAUGGACACAACCUAACAUGCACACUGACACACACUACCACACCCAUACACACACUACACAAAGAACACACUGACGCACACACACUACCACACACGAAUGUGCACACACUGUCCCCACGGCCGCUGAGUCUGGCCUUCCCUCAUGACACUCCCGCCUGGGCAAUCCUUCCAAAGGCCUCUGUGUUGACCUCAGCCCUGGGCCUGAGGGCCCUCGCCACCAGGCACUGGCCUCGUCCAGGACCCCAAGGUCCUCAGGAGGACUCACCCCAGCUGCCCAAACAAGGUCGUCUUGCCCCAGUUGUACAGCUCAAAGUAGGCUUCCCUGUCGUGACUGUAGGAGGAAGGGAGCUCGGAGAGGCGGCUGAGGAGGACCUCCUGGAAACACGUCCUGUAGAUUUCCCAGAGGGGGGCCCCCAUCCGGCCUGCCCUCUGGGACCCUAGGCUGUGUCCCACAGCUUUGUCCAGCUCCUUCAGGUACGGGCGCAGCUGGGUGCUUGGCUUCAUAGUGGGCAAUUGGUCCUCAGCAUCUGUUCUCAGGAGCCUCUCCAGAUGACUUCCCCAGAAAGCAACUCCACCAUCCUCGAGGGCGCUGGCCUCCCAGCUCUGGGGGUUGUCCUCCACCCACUCCACAGUGGCCACCACUGCCUGGAGCUUUAGCUCCAGCUUCUGGCUGUACCCAAUGCCUCCCAGAGCCUCCUUGAUGACCUGCCACAUGCUCUCAGCCACAACCUUGUACUGGAGACCACAGUCCUGCCCUUCCUGUGACAACUCCGAGAUGCUCUGGCAGGCUUCCAGGAACUGCCCCUUCUGUACCAACUUUUGGAAAUCUGGAAGAAAGGAGCCCAGAAAUGAUGACUCAGAGAGGCCUUGGAAACACGGAAAUCAGGUGAGGUGGGAGAGGGGCACCUGCCCAAGGGGAUUCCUCAGUGUAAUUCUCACUCGCAUAAGGGUGGGUUUGGGCCAAGCUGUAUUGAACUCACCCAUCAGGGGAACCAGCAAGAGGCCAAGGCGGCCAGUUUGAAGAAGCUUUGGGAACAGGGGUCUAUGUAGCCAGUCAGAUCGGAAGGCCACAGAUUUCUUACUAUGGUUGCAGGAGACUGGUAGGCUUUGCACUGUGUCACCUUCAGAGCAGAAAAUCACAACACUCAGAGCUUUCUUCUGGUGAGCCUCUG